ensembl:snRNA U6 U6 spliceosomal RNA
CUGCUCUCUUUGGCAGCACAAGUACUAAAACUGGACUGAUACAGAGAAGAUUAGAAUGGCCCCUGCACAAGGAUGAUAUGCAAGUUCAGGAGCAUUCCGUAUUUUUA